AGUUCAAUGGGAAGAUGAGCGAUUACUGAGUCUAAUAAGUACGAUUAAAUUUGGAAUGGAAAUAAUUACAUAUGUCCACAUAUCCGUAAAAUAAAAAUAAUUUUUUCCUAAGUCCUAUAAAUGCAUUACUCAAAAUAGAAUUAUACCAAAAGAAACAGUAAAUAAACAUGCCCAAAUACUCGUUAAGUCUUAAACGAAGCUAGACUAUUGGCGCAUAUAAAUUGCGGAGAAGGAACAGUCCAUCAAGGCGGAGCUGCGCGACACCCGGGUAAGGCUUCUUAGAACAGGGGGUCGUGAGGUACGCUACGUCCUUCAUUAGAGACUGGACAGAAUUUCUAUCCCAGCCCCGAGCCUGGCAGACUCUCGGGUCGAAUAACACCUUAGUCCGGCCGGGGGUAAGAUGGUAUUUUGCGAUGGGUAGUGUGUGAGUACCACAAUGUGGAAAUAGGAAUUAUGUGAGGCUACAUAAUAGAGGUGGCAACUCACGCGCAUCGUCUGUACCAUUUAUGGCUCGGAUACCAGCUAACUGUUUGGCGCUGUUUAUUUAUCGACUCAGGAGGUGAUCCUAAUAAAGAAUCAAUAUACCUUAUAGAGCGGGUAUGUCUCGGUCUUUGCGUUGCACACUUUUGACCACUUUUUAAAACCAAGCACACCCAUAUCUUUAUUAACCAUGGUGGAUAUAUGGUCGGUAAAUUUAAGUUUCAAAUCUAAUAGGACACCCAGAUCGUUAACCUGAGUUAAUCGGAAGUUAUUAACGAAAGUACAUAGCAUGGUGAGGUCUAUGACAUGAGUUUACAUUUCGAUCCAUUAAACCUUAGGUUAUUUGCUAAACACCAAUUUUAAAAUUUAUCCAAAUCGGAUUGAAGUCUAGAUUGGGCACUAGCACUAACCACACAACAUAUAGACCUACCAUACAACAUACAAAGAAAUUAACGAAAACAUGUAGUGUGUGGAUUUCCAACAGGGCACGCAUGCGAAGAGCUGUCAUAAGAUAGACAUAGAAAAGCUUAAAAGCUUAUCACCGAAUAUCAUUGAUCUGCGGUCACCUUGGAUAAGUGAACGAAACAUCACGCGAUUCUUAUCUAUGUUUUUGCAUAUCGAGAUAAGAGUGCCGUUAUGUAAAAGCUUUUUCUCUAGCAUAGUUAGGGCUAGAUUUGCAUAGGAGAGCUUUGACAUUUUUUGACGAGCUUGAAAGCAAUACGGCUGCAAUUGUAAGCCAAGUUUAAUAAAUAUUUAAAUUGUGCUGAAAAUUAAAUAAAAUCAAAUCCCAGACGAAUUAUCGGGAUUCAUUUAAUAAGUGUUUAGUUAUUUUAUGCCAGGUAUGUUAUAAAUUCAGUGCAGUGCAGUUUUUUUUCAUGAAUUUAUUACCCCCCAGUGCCACGUGCCAGUGCGGCUAGUACCAAAUUAUCACCCUAUUAUGCAACCGGCUAUCUGGAGGCCGAAAUGGAUGAAAUAUGGGAAUUAACUAGUGCAGAGAUUCGACGCGGGAUCGCAAUCUUUUGAUAAAUAUUUUUUUGGAUUCGACGACAAGCCCUUUUCGCUACACGGAGAGAAAACUCCAGCGAAUUAUUGAUAAAUUUGUAA